rnacentral:rRNA from 1 species
AUUGAACGCUGGCGGCAGGCCUAACACAUGCAAGUCGAGCGAGAAAGGUCUUCGGACUGAGUACAGCGGCGGACGGGUGAGUAAUGCGCAGGAAUCUACCUGGUAGUGGGGGAUAACUCGGGGAAACUCGAACUAAUACCGCAUACGCCCUACGGGGAAAGCGGGGGACCUUCGGGCCGUCGCGCUAUCAGAUGAGCCUGCGUAGGAUUAGCUUGUUGGUGAGGUAAAGGCUCACCAAGGCGACGAUCCUUAGCUGGUCUGAGAGGAUGAUCAGCCACACUGGAACUGAGACACGGUCCAGACUCCUAC